rnacentral:rRNA from 1 species
GAUGAACGCUGGCGGCGUGCCUAAUACAUGCAAGUCGAGCGCACAGACUAUGAGCUUGCUCCUUUGACGUUAGCGGCUGACGGGUGAGUAACACGUGGAUAACUUACUUAUAAGACUGGGAUCACUUCGGGACACUGGAGCUCAUUCCGGAUAACAUGAUGAACUUCAUUGUUCCACAGUAAUUGACGGUCUUGCUCUCUCUUAUAGAUGGAUCCUCGCCGCAUUUGCUAGUUGGUAAGGUAACGGCUUACCAAGGCAACGAUGCGUAGCCGACCUGAGAGGGUGAUCGGCCACACUGGAACUGAGACACGGUCCAGACUCCUAUGGGAGGCAGCAGUAGGGAAUCUUCCGCAAUGGGCGAAAGCCUGACGGAGCAACGCCGCGUGAGUGAAGAAGGUCUUCGGAUCGUAAAACUCUGUUAUUAGGGAAGAACAAAUGUGUAAGUAACUAUGCACGUCUUGACGGUACCUAAUCAGAAAGCCACGGCUAACUACGUG